GCUUGACAAAACUGUGGUUGUGCUCCUGGCAUCUGGUGGGCAGAGGCCAGAGAUGCUGCUAAACAUCCUGCAAAGUAUAAGACAAACCCCCACGGCAAAGAGUUAUAUAGUCCAAAAUGUCGAUGGUACUGAAGUUGUGAAAUCCUGUUCUAGAGAAAUGAAGAUCACUUAACACAGGUAUUUACUGAGCGUUCACUGUUUUGUAGCUAAUGCACCACAUGUGCAAUAUUAAAGUAUAAACCAUAAGCCAGUAUCUUCCACAGUGAGAUUGCCUUAGUGCACAGAGAAAGGAUUGAGGUGAUGCUCCAUCCUAUGUAAAUUAGACUCACAGCAAAUGAUAAAUGUUCUGAAAUAAUUUUUUUUCCCUUUGGCUUAUGUCUUUUUUUAUAGAAAUCUGGGCUGCAAUUUAAUUACAGAACUGAGCCUUGGAACAUUUCAGGCCUGGCACGGAAUGCAGUUUUUACACAACUUGUAAGUGAAAUAGAAGAUGAAUACGUGUAAACAACUAUUUUGUAUAAAAACUCAUACAAUUAUUGGUUAGCUGGGUAUAAGCCCAUUAUGAACUCUGAAAAGUGUGUCUUAAGAUCCAUUCGUUUUUCUCAAAUGGGGAAACUAAGGUACAAAGCGGCCAAGAGACUUACACAGCUUAUAUAUGACCUGCUCUGCUUGUCCUAGUUCUGACCUAUGGCAUGGGCAAGAAAAGGCAUCAAACAAGUGACCCUCAAAUUAGCCUUGUUGCUGGGCGGGUGGCUCAGGCCUGUAAUCCCAGAACUUUAGGAGCUGAGUGGGGCGGAUCACCUGAGGUCAGGAGUUCAACACCAGCUUGGCCAACAUAGUGAAUCCCCAUCCCUACUGAAAAUACAAAAAAAUUAGCUGGGCGUAGUGAUGCAGUUUUUUGCUCCCUGGAGGACUUUGUGUUAAGCUUUCUUCCUUGCAGCUAAAUGUUGCAGACAUUUAAGCAGUUUGAAACUCUGCAUAUGAGCAGGAAUCAAAGUUAAAUCCAAAGUGUAGGGCUGGGCGUAGUGGCUCAUGCCUAUAAUCCCAGCACCUUGGGAGGAUCACUUGAGGUCAGGAGUUUGAGACCAGCCUGGCCAACAUGGCGAAACCCUGUCUCUACUAACGAUAGAAAAAUUAGCAGGUCGUGGUGGCAGGUGCCUGUGAUCCCAGCUAUCGGGAGGCUGAAGGUCGAGAAUGGCUUGAACUCCAGAUGUGGAAGUUGCAGUGAGCCGAGAUUGUGCCACUGCACUCCAACCUCCCCUCCAGGCUGGUCUCGAACUCCUGUGACCUCAGGUGAUCUGCCCACCUUAGCCUCCCAAAGUGCUGGGAUUACAGGUGUGAGCCACCGCACCUGGCCUUGUGGAUUUUUUUUUUUUAGAGACUACAGGUGUAAGCCAUUGUGCCUGGCUUUUUUUUUUUUUUUUUUUUUUGGUAGAGACAGGGUCUUGCUAUGUUGCCCAGGCUGGUCUCAAACUCUUGGCCUAAAGGGACCCUCCUACCUUGAGCUCCUGAGUGGCUGCGAUUACAGACUCCAGACACUGCACCCGGCUCCAGGUGGGUUUUAUUACCAUCCUCAUUUUAUAAAUGAGGAAAGGGGCUCGGAGAAGUUAAGGAACAUGCCCAAUGUCACACAGCUAAUAACUGUGAAGCCGGGAUUUGAACCCAGGUUCUUGGAUUCGAGAGCCUAAGAUCCUGAGUUCAGGUAAGUAAUACAAUGUCAGCUGGCUGUAAGACAGAUGAUGGUAAAUAACAGGGACCACUGGGCUUGGCAAGGUGGCUCACACCUGUAAUCCCAGCACUUUGGGAGGCAGAGGUAGGCGGAUCACCUGAGGUCAGGAGUUUGAGACUAGCCUGGCCAACAUGAUGAAACCCUGUCUGUACUAAAAAUACAAAAAUUAGCCAGGUGUGGUGGCAUGUGCCUGUGGUCCCAGCUACUUGGGAGGCUGAGGUGGGAGAAAUCGCUUGAACCCAAGAGGCGGAGGUUGCAGUGAGAUCACACCACUGUGCUCUAGCCUGGGUGACAGAGCGAGACUCCAUCUUAAAAAAAAAAAGAAGGCCGGGGGCGGUGGCUCACGCCUGUAAUCCCAGCACUUUGGGAGGCCGAGGUGGGCAGAUCACGAGGUCAGGAGAUUGAGACCAUCCUGGCUAACACAGUGAAACCCUGUCUCUACUAAAAAUACAAAAAAUUAGCCGGGCAUGGUGGCGGGCGCCUGUAGUCCCAGCUACUCAGGAGGCCGAAGCAGGAGAAUGCCGUGAACCCGGGAGGCGGAGCUUGCAGUGAGCCGAGAUCAGGCCACUGCACUCCAGCCUCGGCGACAGAGCUAGACUCCGUCUCAAAAAAAAAAAAAAAAAAAAAAAAAAAAAAAGGCCGGCGCGGUGGCUCAUGCCUGUAGUCCCAGCGCUUUGGGAGACCGAGGCAGGUGGAUCACCUGAGGUCAGGAGUUCUAGACCAGCCUGGCCAACAUGGUGAAACCCCGUCUCUACUAAAAAUACAAAAAUUAGCUGGGCGUGGUGGCAUGCGCCGGUAAUCCCAGCUACUCAGGAAGCUGCUUGAACCCAGGAGGUGGAGGUUGCAGUGAGCCGAGAUUGCACCACUGCACUCCAGCCUGGGCUACAGAGCAAGACUCCGCCUCAAAAGAAAAAAUACAAAUACAAAUAAAAUAAAGAGAACAGCCAGUGGGAAGUCCCAGAAAUGGGCACACACUGGGUGUGUCUGGGGUGCAGUGAGGGGCCCCUAUGGCUGAGGCGAAAGUCUAGGGAUUAUUGCACCCACUUUGCACGUGUGACCUUCCACAUUUCUUCACACAGCGACUCCUUCACAACAGUCUCAUGACAUAGGUUUUUAUAAUUCUCCUCUCUUGACGGGUGGGGAAACUGAGGCUCAGGGUGGCUAAUUGAGCCACAGCCAGAAAGCAAUGGAGCUCCAAUCUGAAUCCAGGCAGCCUGCCCCCACUGCCGAACUCCGAAGGAAACACAGUAGGGAGCCAAUGCCAGCAGGCUGGGAGGGCUGCCUGGAGGAGGUGGAUGUCACCAGAACCUGUGGGAGGACUCUGAGGAGCAGGGAGGGAGGGAGCUGCUGCUGACCAAGGCACAAAAACAUGUUCCUGGGGCAGUUCUUGGAAGGCAGAUUUCCAGGCGCCUGCCCCCAAUGUGGCCCUGCCUCCCGCUCCCCCAGGCCCCCUCUUCCUAGAGGGAAGGCGGCAAGAGGCGCUUCAUUAGCGCCUCUGAGGCCCCAGCAGCCCCGAGGGGAUGAAAAGGGCCUAGGAGGGGAGCCGUCCUCAUUUUGGCACACCUGGCAGGGGGCCCAGGACCACUGAAAGGGAUUCAGCUGGGGCCGGCUGGGCAGGCCCGGUCAUUGUUCCGGCUAGAUCCGCGGUCAGGGCUUCAAAUGCAAAACCGGGCUGGGGAUGGGGUGGGGGCGCCGGUGGCCUCUGCUCUUCCUUUAAUAGACCAAAGGACUCUGGCGGCUUAGCUCUUUUCCUAAUUUAAAGAUAUUUUCAGGCGUUUGGGAGCUCCCCUAGGCGAAGCAGGAAGGCUGGGAAGUGGGGGGCCUUGAAACUCUCUUCGUGGUUGCCAGCGGAGGAUGGAAGAAAAGGCGGGGAGGAGGGGGGCUGAGGUUGGUCUGGGGUCACGGGUGGGGCGCUGCCCCCCCGUGUUGAGUUCUCGGCUGUCCUCUGCCCCAGUUUCCCUCUCUGGAAACUCUGUCUGGUUUCUGGAACCGUCCCCAGCAGGUAGGACGGAUGCAGGUGUGCCCAAACGGCAGUUUCUUCCUAAGGAGCUCUUUCGGGUCAACUCUGGAGGCCUUGACUUGGGAGGCAGAUGGAGGAGGCUUGAUCCCUCUCAGCAUGGCAGCCGUGGUGCCAAGGCAGGAAGGAGGGAGGCAUGAGGAGGUGAGAGAUGGAAAGAAUGCUGUCUGUCAUUUGGAGUCAGAAGGAAAAGAAGGUUGAGGGUCUGCCAGCUCUGCUCUAGUGGUUUUUUCCUGUUUCACCUUUUACAAAAUCGAGAUAAUCGUUUCUACUUGGUAGCGAUAUUGUGAGGUGUAAAAUGGAUUAAUACAUGCAAAAUGCUUAAAGCAACUUCUGGCAUACGGUGAUCUCUCAACCAAUCCAUUGUUAUUUUAUUAUUAUUAUUUUUGUAAGACAGAGUUUUGCUUUUGUUACCCAGGCUGGAGUGCAAUGGUGUGAUCUCGGCUCACUGCAACCUCUGUUUCCCGGAUUCAAGCGAUUUUCCUCCUCCUGAGUAGCUGAGAUUACAGGUGCCCACCACCACACCCAGCUAAUUUUUUGUUUUGUUUUGUUUUUUGUUUUUUUUGAGAUGGAGUCUCGCUCUGUUGCCCAGGCUGGAGUGCAGUGGCACGAUCUCGGCU
rnacentral:lncRNA from 10 species